rnacentral:rRNA from 1 species
UACGUAGGUGGCAAGCGUUGUCCGGAUUUACUGGGCGUAAAGCGCGCGCAGGCGGUCGAUUUAGUCGCGUGUGAAAGCCCCCGGCUCAACUGGGGAGGGUCACGCGAUACUAUUCGGCUCGAGGAAUGGAGGGGAGACUGGAAUUCUCGGUGUAGCAGUGAAAUGCGUAGAUAUCGAGAGGAACACCAGUGGCGAAGGCGAGUCUCUGGACAUUUCCUGACGCUGAGGCACGAAAGCCAGGGGAGCAAACGGG